UCAGACGAUGCGUCAUGCAUAUCAAUAAGCGGAGGAAAAGAAACUAACAAGGAUUCCCCUAGUAACGGCGAGUGAAGCGGGAAGAGCUCAAAUUUGAAAUCUUAAAGGGUUUCCCUUUACGAAUUGUAGUUUAAAGAAGUGUUUUCUGUUGAGGUUUUGGUAAAAGUUCUUUGGAAUAGGACAUCAUAGAGGGUGAGAAUCCCGUAUUUGACCCUUACUUUCAACUUCGUGAUACACUUUCAAAGAGUCGGAUUGUUUGGGAAUGCAGUCCAAAAUGGGUGGUAAAUUUCAUCUAAAGCUAAAUAUUGGCGAGAGACCGAUAGCGAACAAGUACCGUGAGGGAAAGAUGAAAAGAACUUUGAAAAGAGAGUUAAACAGUACGUGAAAUUGUCAAAAGGGAAGCGUUUGACACCAGUGUUGUUUUUCUGAAAAUCAAUUAAAGAACUGUUUAUGCUAAGUUGUUUAGACUUUAUCAGCUAUCUGUUUAGUUUUGAGCUUUUCUUUAAUGCACUUUUCAGUUAACAAGUCAACAUCAUAUUUCUUUUGCUGUAAAAAAGCUUGAGGAAGGUGGCUUGAGAUUCGUCUUAAGUGUUUAUAGCCUCUUGCCUAUGCAGUCGGAGAGAUUGAGGUCUGCAGGCGUAGAUCCUUCGGGGCUAAAUGCAUUUGUGCUAAGUUAUAGCAUUUUAUAGACAACUUGUUGACUAUGAUUUGUCUUGUAGCUUACUCGCUUAUGUUAUUUUACCUACGCUUAGGAUGUUGACACACGCGCGUGCUCG
rnacentral:rRNA from 1 species